GGAAAACUUACCAGGUCCGGACAUAGUGAGGAUUGACAGAUUGAAGAUCUUUCUUGAUUCUAUGGGUGGUGGUGCAUGGCCGUUCUUAGUUGGUGGAGUGAUUUGUCUGGUUGAUUCCGACAACGAACGAGACCUUCGCCUGUUUAAUAGGAGUCAUUUCCACGGAUUUGGUCUCUUUCUUAACGGGACUUUGCGCGUCUAGUGCAAUGAAGCGAAGGCAAUAA
rnacentral:rRNA from 1 species